rnacentral:rRNA from 1 species
CAAUAGCGUAUAUUAACGUUGUUGCAGUUAAAAAGCUCGUAGUUGGAUUUCUGGAGGGAGCGUCGGCCCGUAUUUACGAGUGCGUGACGUCUCUGUCCAUCCUUGCGGGAAGGCACGGCAUUGAUUUGUUGUGUCGGAUCGCAUCAUUUACUGUGAAAAAAUUAGAGUGUUCAAAGCAGGCUUUCGCUUGAAUACAUUAGCAUGGAAUAAUAAGAGAGGACUUUGGUGCUAUUUUGUUGGUUGAGCCUAAAGUAAUGAUUAAUAGGGAUAGUUGGGGGCACCUGUAUUGCGUUGUCAGAGGUGAAAUUCUUGGAUUUACGCAAGACAAACAGCUGCGAAAGCGUCUGCCAAGGAUGUUUUCAUUA